GACUUCUGGUUUAAUGCACCUGGCCCGCGGCCCACAAGGCCUGUGAGUGCCGGCGCGCGUUUACCAUCCUUCCAGCAACGGCUACCCUUAACUGGGCGGCUGGAACUGGAUCUUUUACUUUGAAAAAAUUAGAGUGUUUAAAGCAGGCGUUUGCUCUGAAUACAUUAGCAUGGAAUAAUAAUCUAGGACUUCGGUUCUAUUUUGGAUUGAUAGGGAUAGUUGGGGGUGCUAGUAUUGGGUCAGAGGUGAAAUUCUUGGAUUCGGUCAAGGCUAACUUAUGCGAAAGCAUU
rnacentral:rRNA from 1 species